UAUGAAGAACGCAGCGAAAUGCGAUAAGUAGUGUGAAUUGCAGAAUUCAGUGAAUCAUCGAAUCUUUGAACGCACAUUGCGCCCCUUGGUAUCCCGAGGGGCAUGCCUGUUCGAGCGUCAUUUCACCACUCAAGCCUGGCUUGGUGUUGGGCGACGUCCUCUUUGGGGACGCGCCUCGAAACGCUCGGCGGCGUGGCACCGGCUUUAAGCGUAGCAGAAUCUUUCGCUUUGGAAGUCGGGGCCCCGUCUGCCGGAAGACCUGCUCGCAAGGUUGACCUCGGAUCAGGCAGGGAUACCCGCUGAACUUAAGCAUAUCAAUAAGCGGAGGA
rnacentral:misc_RNA from 1 species